rnacentral:rRNA from 1 species
GACGACCGCUGGCGGCGUGCUUAACACAUGCAAGUCGAACGAAGUGGCGAACGGGUGAGUAACGCGUAAUCAACCUGCCCUUCAGAGGGGGACAACAGUUGGAAACGACUGCUAAUACCGCAUACUGAAGGAGGGGAUUGCGUCUGAUGAGCUAGUUGGAGGGGUAACGGUCCACCAAGGCGAUGAUCAGUAGCCGGUCUGAGGGGAUGAGCGGCCACAGUUGACCUGAGACACGGCCCAGACUCCUACGGGAGGAAGCAGUGGGGAAGCUUCCGCAAUGGAAGAAAGUCUGACGAAGCAACGCCGCGUGAGUGAUGACGGCCUUCGGGUUGUAAAGCUCUGUUAAUCGGUACGCGGUACCGGAAUAGAAAGCCACGGCUAACUACGUGCCAGCAGCCGCGGUAAUUC